CUUUAAGUCUUGGUAAAGCCAAAAACAGUUAACAGUCAGACGACAUCUCAGCACUGUUAAGAUGGAUCUCCAUAACAGGUGAUGAAUAGUUUUAUUUGGGGGAUAUAUUUUACUAUUGGGGAAAAGUUUUAGAUUGGUUUGUCAGUUUGUAACCCAUCAAGCUGAGGCCAAUAGAUAUACAUUCACAAACCUGUAGCCAUCAAAUAAUCAACUUUAUGUGUGACUUUCGGACUGAUUCAUACAACCACAUUUCCUUUCUCCACUCUAUAGCAGCUUUUUCUCUGUAUUUGAAAAGAUAACCAAGAAGGAGAAGAUAAAGAACUAGGAAUAAGAUGUGGAUGAGUAUGGUGAGGAUCUAAGCUUCACAAGUGAGACAGCUAGGAAGAUAGCUUUGUGGUCCAGCAUAGGAAUGAUGGGUGCUUCAUAUUAUUAUUAUUAUUAUUUUAAAUAAUGUUUAUUAAAGUUUCACAGGGGGGAAAAAACACCACAUUAGUAAAGAAAAAGUUAACAAUGAAAAGAAAAAAUACAAAGUAAAAAGAAAAAACAAUUAAAAACAAUUUCAUCUUUUCCUCACUUCUUUUACGUUUACUUGUUUCCCGGACCUCCUCUUACCUCCCUCUUCUGUAUUCUAAUUAAAUAUGUUAAUCCAACAAUUCCUUUCCCUCCUUUUUAAUCCUAAUCUUUAAUCUUGAUGUAAUAUAACUUUACAUUUUACAUUUUACAUAUUAAAAACCAAUUUUUCCAUAUUCUUUUGUGCUUGUACAGCUAGAAACCACUUAACUUCAAUCCAACAUCAUUCUAACAUUCAUUAAUAUUUCUGUAAAUAUUUUGCAAUAUUUCUGUAAAUAGUCUUUGAAUUUCUUCCAAUCUUCUUCCACCGACUCUUCUCCCUGGUCACGGAUUCUGCCAGUCAUUUCCGCCAAUUCCAUGUAGUCCAUCAUUUUCAUCUGCCAUUCCUCCAGUGUGGGUAGAUCUUGUGUCUUCCAAUACUUUGCAAUGAGUAUUCUUGCUGCUGUUGUAGCAUACAUAAAGAAAGUUCUGUCCUUUUUUAACACCGAUUGGCCGACUAUGCCCAGGAGAAAGGCCUCUGGUUUCUUCAAGAAGGUAUAUUUAAAUAACUUUUUUAGUUCAUUAUAUAUAAUUUCCCAGAAAUACUUAAUCUUUGGUCACGUCCACCAAAGGUGAAAAAUGUACCUUCAGUUUCUUUACAUUUCCAACAUUUAUUAUCAGGCAAAUGGUAGAUUUUUGCAAGCUUGACUGGGGUUAUGUACCACCUGUAUAUCAUUUUCAUAAUAUUUUCUCUUAAGGCAUUGCAUGCCGUAAAUUUCAUACCUGUGGUCCAUAACUGUUCCCAGUCAGCAAACAUAAUAUUAUGUCCAACGUCUUGUGCCCAUUUAAUCAUAGCAGAUUUCACCGUUUCAUCCUGAGUAUUCGGGUGCUUCAUAUUAUUGAAUUUCUGUUCCACAAAGAAGAAGCCUACUCUGGAAUAACAUCCAAUGCAUAAUUCUGCUGGUAUCAUCAUCAUCAUCAUCAUCAUCAUCAUCAUUAUGUGGGUGUACCAGUUUUCCAAAUAGUAAUUCAUCCAAGGUAUCUUACAAACUGAGAGUACUUCAGCUGUAACUCCCAAAGAGCAAUCUAAUUUCCAAAUUCUGUACAACAAAGUUAAUAAAUUCAGCAGUAUAAGAUCCUAUCUCUUCUGGUUUGGUUGUAAGAAGAUGGGCAGGUAGGGCUUUCUGAAGCCAGACUGAGUAUGCUGAGGCAGAAUGCCAUCUGCCUUUAUGGGCCAGCCUGCACUGUGAAAAAGCUCUGCGAUGAACCUACUUCAAAGGGUUAUUGAAAGGAUAAAAUGGGACGAGGAAGAACUAUAUGCUGCCCUGAGCUUCAUGAAACAAGAUAAGGAGCAGGAUGAAAACAUCAUUGAUAAACAAACAAACAAAUUAACAAAUAAUGUUGUAGGCCCAUACUUUUGUGGCUGGAAGAUUCCUUCCCUCACCCCCAUUUUCUCAUUGGUAAGAAACACACUGAGACCAUGUUUAAGCAUGCAUAAGAGCAAAUAGCGCUGACUGCAAUUGGACUCGCUCAUAAGCGGCGAGCUCUGAGCAUCCCAGUUGAAGCAAUGGCAACGAACUUAGAAUUCUAACUUGCAUGAGCGAUAUAUGUUUAAAAGAAACUUCACAAUCUCUUUUAUGGAAGCACUGAGACUUUCCUUAAAUGCAUUGGUGUGAGAAAUGAAAACUAUAAACACCCUGGGAUUCUCUUUUCCGUUCACUGCCUAUUAAUUGGCACUAAUGAGGAUUGUGUGCACAUCAAGGAGGGGCAGAGUUGCAGGAUGAUGGCUCCCUCCACAGCCUCACAGCAGCAAAGCUUAAUAAAUGCUGUUUUAGAUUAAAAUGGAGGAGAUCACAGAACCACCUAGUGCGGCUGUAGUGGAUGGUUGAAGAACAAUAGUGUGCAUUACCUUUCCUCCACAUUGGGUAAAGCAAUACAGUGAUGACAUUUUUUUAAGAAAAGCUGUUUUUCACCCCUCUUAAAAUGAGCAACAAGCGCAUAGGUAAAAUCAACCCGUUAUAACAAGGAAAAUCACCACAGGGCCCAAACUAGGUGUGAAGGAAAUGUCCUCCCAACUUGUCCCACUAGUUGAGCUGGGGAAACUGAGGCCCAGAGGUUGAAUGCGGACCUCCAGGCCUUGUUAUCUGGCCCCUCAAAUUCUCUGCAGGCCACACCCCCUAUCCACAAGCCACACCCCUCACUUUGCUUUGCAUCAAGUGGUUUUUUGCCUGGCUAGAAUGCAUCUUUGAAUUGCAAUAAUGUCUAUGGAUGGAGGAUGGAGAACGGAGGAUGGAGGUGUGAGUAAGUGUGGAAACCAGCCUAAUGGACAAAGGAGGGGAAUUACAUUUGUUGCCCCGCCUACUUUUGCAUAUGCUCCACCCACCCUUAUCAUGUGUUCCUUGGGAGGCUGCCCAACAGGGAAAGCAACCCUUGGGCUGGAAAGAAACCCCCACUCCUGCUGUGUGUCAAAAGCACAGAGGACUGCUGUGACAUCACCCCCAGUUUUAUAGGUGGCAAAACACACAAUUGCAGGAGCAGCAACUGGUGUCUGCUACUCCCUUCUUCUAAAGCUUCCUCUGCCUGAUUCUUCAUCAUGACAGAACACUGAGCAGAGAGCGUGUCCAGUGUGGUGGAGGACUGGCAACCACUAGUCAUCACUGUGAGCCUAAACUCAUUGGGAAUGACCUAUUGAUCAGUGCACUGUAUUAGCCUUGCAUCCUUCCUAUUACUGGAACAGUUUCCUUCUGCGUUUGCUGCUUUUGGCAAACAGUUCCACUGGUUCUGGAUUUACUUUGUAAAACAUGGAUAGCCAAUGUGGGGCCCUGCAGGUGCGACUGGACUACAGGUCACAUCAACUCUGACCCACUGUCUGGGACUGAUGGGAAUUGAGUCCAACAAUAUUUGAAGGACACCACCUUGAACACAGUGAGCAUCUCUUCCAUUCACCUUCUACAGCCCACCUGGAAUAUCAGACAUGUGACAGAUUGCACUUAAGCCAUUUGUUCUGAAAUUCCUUUGACGGAUGUCAUCUUUAUCUCUCAGAGUGGGGUUGGUCCAGUGAUCUGAGCAGCAGUGAAUUGCAGCAGUCCUCACAUUCUUUCACUGUAACUCAUCCCCUUAAUCUGUCCAAAAUGAAUAAACAAACUCACAAGAAUGUUGCAAGCGAUUCACCUUCUGUCUUCCAGGUGGUCGGUACAGGACCCUUUGACUUGGUUGUGAAUUUCUAUUCUAAGAUGCAUAAUUGUGGAUGAUGUAAAAAGCCCUUCCUGAAUUAGUCCCUAAUGAAUAAUUAUUGAUCAGUUUCCGAUAUCCCAUUUGGGGGCAAGAUACGGGAGCAUAUGGUAGCAUCUCAGCGCCAGGGGUUUCUGGAGGAGAAAAUUUAUUUAGAUCCAUUUCAUUCUGGUUCCAGGCCUGAUUAUGGGAGAGAGAUGCCUUGGGUUGCUUUGGUUUGAUGGAUGACCUAAACCAGGAAUUGGAUUGGCCAGAACCCCUCUGACAUGAUUUUAUAUCUCCUCGCAGACACAGAUAAGUAUGUGACCUGGCGUGUAGCACUCUUUGCAACUGCUGCUAGGAAAAUUAGAGCAAAUUAUAUAGCCAAGGUAGCCAUCAACUGUAAAGGAGAUGAAUUUAUUUGACCCUACCUAUCUACAUCAGGCUAUGCUCUAUCUUUGUCACCAAACUCCGAGUAUAAAUUGCACACUGUAUUAAUUGACAUUGUUUUUUGAUAUAUUAGUGGCCAUGUGAUGAUUUUAGCUUAUGAAUUUUAUUGUUUAAUGUCUUGAUUUGUAUAUUGGGGUACUUUUAUAGCUCUGUUUAGAGUACGUAAUGUUUUGAUAAUAUAAAUGUUUUAAGUCUUUUGUAUCAAUCCAGUAUAUUUUCUUUUAAUUGUCAAAUGAUUCUGUGUACCUUGCAGCAGCCUUUGGCUAUGUGCAAUAAAACUGACUGACCUCUCAGUAGCCUUCAAUAUUAUCAGCAAUGGUACCCUUCUGGACUGCCUUGCUGGGGUGGGACUUGGAGGCACUGUUUUACAAGGGAGACGUUCAUGUUGAGUUCCAGCACGAUUUUUCCCCUAGAAAAAUAAAGGGAUCAUUGAAAGUGCAAGAUAUCUGGGGAUCCGGCUUCCCUAGCUUACUUAGAGUUCUUGUUAUGGGAUGAAAAGCAUAUCACCUACUAUUAUCCCAUACUUCCCCCACACCCACUUUCCAAUAACAAGUAAGCAUUUUUCUAAGAUGCUUAGAUCUUCACUGAAAGGAGGAGGCAGAUAAGAAACAAAUGACACUGUCUUUCUCUCUCUCCCCCCACCCUUUUUUAUAUGAAAAGAAGCCAUGUGUUUCACUUAUCAGAACACCAGACUUUAAUAACAGAUGCUUCCCUGCCUUCCUGCCCACCAAGGGAUGAUCUAAUGCCUGGAACCAUGCUUCAAAUUGACGUUUAAAGCAAGAAGGAGUUUACAUAAAAUGAACUCCAGGGAGGCAAGGUUUGUUUUAACUUGGCAGGGCCUACCACGAAGGAGACAGCCCUUUAACCUCAAUUUUCUCCUGAAAUGGGUCAGGAGUUGCUCAGAUGGGCAUGGAACUAACAGGCCCAGAUAGAGAAAGGGGUGAUUAGUCAAUGGUAGCCUGUCUGCAUUUGAAUGCUCUUUUUCUACCUGAUAAAUGGACAUCACAUGAAAGUUCAUCACAAUCCCUCCUCCCACCCUAACAUAAAGCCCACAGCCACGAACAACUUGGUUUUAGUGUAUGGUAUUACUAUUUAUAUUCAUGUUCUAACAGUGAACAGCAAACCUCUAUUUGAUCGUCACAAAAAUCAUGUGAUUUAGCAUAGCUUGAAGAUCGGUGGAGAGGAAUGCUCAAAGUCACCCAGUGAGUUCUGAGUUUCCCUUCCUUCUCCUGAACCCAGAACUCUUUGCAGAAAAUAAAAAAGCAGGGGGAAUUACUAGUGUUAUAUAUUUUGAUAUUCACAGUAGUUUAUCCCACAUUCCUAAAUUCUCAGAAUGUAUGUACAGUUUAAAUCUGACUUCAUACUUUGCUUUGCAAAGUCAAGGGCAAUUGUACGUAUAUAAUUGUUGUUUGUAAGCCUGCAAGCAAGGUCAUAUGCUGUUAUUUUGGAAUGAUGCGUAUUAACUUCAUGUAUUUUCUAGAUAUGGUGAUGAUGAUGAUGAUGAUGAUGAAGAUUUGACCUUCAGGUGGAGGUGCUGCCAAUAGGUGGAAACCUGUAACCUUUUAGCUGUUGACUAAGUUCUUGACAAUUGGCCAUGCUGAUUGGAACUGAUGGAAUCCAGAGGGCCACAGAUUUUCCAUAUCUGCUCUGCAGUGUCUGAGGGUUACAACUAGACAUGGUACCUUUCAGAGGCAAGUCUUUCCACAUAAAGGCAAUUGCUUGUCACCUCUUCUUCCCUCCUGGCCCAGAAGUGCUGGCAAAGCAUCUCUAACUCACUACAAAUAAUUGGACCGGGCCCUAAGAAUGGCAGAAAUGGCACUUGAUAUAUGGGAGCGACAUCCCUUAAACAUACAUGGAAAGCUAGAACUUGUCAGUUGCUUUCCACAACAUUGUACACUGUGUCAUAUAAAAAG
rnacentral:lncRNA from 1 species